GUCUGAAGAGGCUACCAGUUUUCACACCCAAGCCCUGUGUCCUGUGACAGGGAGUGGGAGAGAGCUCUGGGACAGCUCCUCUUUCCUGCACUGCACUAAGAGGUAAGUUAGCUCAAAAGGGCACACGUUCACUGGGUACUCAGUAAUUCCUUAACCACCAAGUAAUUGCUCCCCAGAAGUUUUACACCAUGCACUUGUCAAUCAAAGCUGAAAAGUCUUUGUUUUUUUUUUUUCAGUCUGCUUUGUCCCUGAAGUCUCACUAGUCCCGAGUGUGAUUUGCCCCACUUCGGGUAGAGGAAGGAUCUUUUUAGCUUGCCUUUAGGAAAGCAGAGUUAUUGGGGAGGAAAACGUGAUUGUAGUCGUGUGUCUGACCGUGGUAAAUGCUGGCCUUGCCGUGCACUAGAGGCUGCCAUAAGCAGAGCAAACGACAUAAAGACAGCGCCCAAGAAAAUGUUCUGGUGUAUGCAAACAAGCUCAGCUGCCUGAAGGGGCCAGAAGAGGCUGUCAGAGUCCCCUGUGGCUGAAGUUGUUGUGAUCUGCUGUGAAGCAGUGAGGAAGAUGCUGGGAACUGUACUUGGGUCCUCUGCAAGAGCAGCAAACUCUGAACCACUCUUUGGCCCCCAGAAU
rnacentral:lncRNA from 1 species